UAUAACAAAUGUACAGCUAGAACUGGUUAAACUCUCAGGCUCAGUUGCAACCAAUAAUGUGAGCAGGGAGGCAAAUCCUUCUCUCCCUUAAGGCCCAGAUCCUCCACGGCCCCAACCUUAUUUCCCUUGCUGAAGCUAUGUAUCUCCUCUCUUAACUCUCCUCCAGCUUUGUUCGCAUUUCCCCUAUUGCCCCUACCUCUGCCUGCAUUGCCAUCUACUUACUGGCACCUGUCUUAAUUAUGCCACUUCUCUGAAAGGUCUUUCAGUUUGGAGACACAGUAUGACUCAACUCAAUACUUACUCUCCAGUAUUUUGAACAUAGUAGGUACAAUUUGGUGUUCGACAAAUACUUGUCACGAGAAUGGCACUUUGAGGUAAGAAGAGUGUCACAAACCUUGUUAGUCUCUCCCUUCUUUGCCCAGAUGAGCGCCUAGGCGAUGGUUGGCUCGCUGCACUCCACUGCAACCGGGGACUGUGGUGAUGGAGUCACCGGGCGGCUGGGCGGCUGGGCGGCUGCACCUCCCAGCCCGGGGACCCCGCGCCCGGCUCCACGAGCUGACAGCGCCCUCUGGCGGACGUGCGCGCGCCCAGCCGAGUUACUCCCGCGGCGCCCCCUGCCUCCUUUUCCAUCGCCUCCUGCGGGCCCUGGCUGGGAAAGCUGGGAGCGUUCGGAUUACCUAACCAGCUUGGGGGUAAAUCAAGAACCGACCACAUGGCAAGGGACCAUUGGCUUUAUCCAUAUGCCCGUGAACAGGGACAAAUGCAGUCAGGAGCACUUGCCAUUAUGGAAAAAAUAUGCUGUCUUAAAAACAAUGUUUUAAACAACCAGGCUUCUCAAAGUGAGGAAUUCUGUUUCUGUGACUGCAUUAACCAAGAGGCCAUCCAUUUACCAGUUAAAUCCACUCUGGUUGAGGAAAAACAGAGACGGAGUCCAGGUUUUGAGGAAACUAGAACUCGAAGGUAAAGGAAUGUUAAGGGCCUUCAGGUGGACCACAGGGACCCACCCUACCUUUUUCUUGAUUCAAGUCUGCAGGUCAGUUCCUGGGGCUGAGGUGAAAGUUGUGAGAAAUGGCCAAGGAACCCCAUUGGAGAAGCCACCCCCAGAAUGGAAAUAAGAAAGGACAAGUGGAAUUCCUCCAUCCCACCAGGUGUCACGGAAGCAGAUCCCUCCAGCUUAGGCCCCCACAUGUGUGCUGAAGCCAUGACACACACCUACUUCUCAUGGACUCUGCUGCUGGUCACGCCCUGGCUCCCCUCCUUCAGCCUCUCCAUCUCUGUCAUUCGUUCCCAUCAAAUGCCAAGACAGUAAUGCAGAAGUUGUCCUGAUGCCAUUGUCAGAGCUACAAGGACUUAUGUUGUGAAGAGACCCAGGUGCAGGUGGAGACCAAGAUAGAGUGAUGAAGCAGGAGAAAAAGAGUGAUGUGCUGAGCGUCACUGCUAAAGAAGGAAGAUUCUCUUCCAGCCCAUCUGUUCCUGCCCAUUAAAAUGCCAAGUUGCCCUCCUCUUUAAUGCACGUUGUGACAUGGUGGGAGACACUGCCUGUU